rnacentral:snRNA from 13 species
AGCUUUGCGCAGUGGCAGUAUCGUAGCCAAUGAGGUUUGUCCGAGGCGCGAGUAUUGCUAAUUGAAAACAGGUGUACAAAGUAGC